rnacentral:tRNA from 1 species
GGGGGAUUAGCUCAGUUGGCUAGAGUACUUGCCUGGCAGGCAAGGGGUCACCGGUUCGAGCCCGGUAUCCUCCA